CGAGGGGCAGCGGGGGAGUGGCAACACUUCCGCCGGCGACCGGCGCACGGGUGAGUAACACGUAUGAAACCUGCCCGCAGCAGGGGGAUAAGCGGAAGAAAUUCCGUCUAAUACCGCGUAACAACCGACGGGGGCAUCCCUGUUGGUUCAAAGGAGCGAUCCGGCUGCGGAUGGUCAUGCGGCGCAUUAGCUAGUUGGCGGGGCAACGGCCCACCAAGGCGACGAUGCGUAGGGGUUCUGAGAGGAAGGUCCCCCACACUGGUACUGAGACACGGACCAGACUCCUACGGGAGGCAGCAGUGAGGAAUAUUGGUCAAUGGCCGAGAGGCUGAACCAGCCAAGUCGCGUGAGGGAUGACGGCCCUACGGGUUGUAAACCUCUUUUGCCGGGGAGCAAAGAGCGGGACGCGUCCCGCCUCGAGAGUACCCGGAGAAAAAGCAUCGGCUAACUCCGUGCCAGCAGCCGCGGUAAUACGGAGGAUGCGAGCGUUAUCCGGAUUUAUUGGGUUUAAAGGGUGCGCAGGCGGAAGCGCAAGUCAGCGGUAAAAUUGAGAGGCUCAACCUCUUCCCGCCGUUGAAACUGCGUUUCUUGAGUGGGCGAGAAGUACGCGGAAUGCGUGGUGUAGCGGUGAAAUGCAUAGAUAUC
rnacentral:rRNA from 1 species